AAAGCGUGCGUAGGCGGCCAUUCAAGUCAGAGGUGAAAGCCCAGGGCUCAACCCUGGAACUGCCUUUGAAACUAGAUGGCUGGAACACGGGAGAGGUGAGUGGAAUUCCGAGUGUAGAGGUGAAAUUCGUAGAUAUUCGGAAGAACACCAGUGGCGAAGGCGGCUCACUGGACCGUUGUUGACGCUGAGGCACGAAAGCGUGGGGAGCAAACAGGAUUAGAUACCCCUGU
rnacentral:rRNA from 1 species